CCUAAAAUCAAACGGGAUCAUAAGAUUUUUCGAGAGUUGUGCAUCCUUCCAUUUUAUUUAUGAAAACAAACGGAAUCAUAGGUUUUUGUGAGAGUUGUGCUAAUCUCCCGUUGCUGGGGUCUGAGUUGGAAACUUUCCCCACGUCUCGAAAUCCUGCAAUUCAAGUAGAGCAUUCUUGGAGAAAUUCGCAUAUUGGAAUCGGAGCUAUGAAUCCAUUGACAACGAAUUCAGCAUAUCAAUAUCGGAAGAAGCUUCAAUUCGAUCACACUGAGAUGAUCUUCUUGCAAUGUUUGCACAGUAAAAAGUUCUUUCUAAUCAAAUCCAGAGACAAUCUGAAUGACUCUCAAAUUCUUGGUCGAAUCAUAAGGGUUGAGCAACUAUAAAAAGAAAGAAGAAGAUGAAGAGAAAGAGACCAGCAAAAAGGGGUGGCACAAGGAGUUUGUUGUUCUUUCCAAAGAGGUGAAUCUGAUCAUGGAGCUGGAUGCAAGUUCUCCCAUGAUGAACAAGUAAGAUCAAUGACCCUUGAAGGGAAGCACUAUUAGUCAUUUUUACUUCCAUUCUUAGGUGCAGGUCUACCACCUUUACGAUGAAAGUAAACUAGAAUCUGCAAUUCAUUUAUCACUUGUAUUCGUUAGGUUUAAAGUGAACAGUAAGUCACUGCCAACAUUGUAAAGAAUACAUAUCAGAUGGAUGCCUUGGGUCAAAUUUUUGCUCAGUCUAUUUAUUGCUGUUAUAUCUGUCGAAAACAUAAAACAACCAUAUGUGUUGAAGCUGGUUUCCUUAAUUUUUUCUUCA